GCUACCGACUGACAGACGGGAGUCCUCGUGACGCUGGUACCAAUAGACCACCUUCGCAGUCCUCGUGGCACGCAUCAAUAGAUCCGUCGUCUGCCGGGGAGGGCCUCAGAAGCCUGCUCUUUUGGUGGGGUUGUUAUAGUUCUUUUCGAAGCGAGAGGCAAGAUGCCAGGAAGGGGGGGAGGUCUCGUGGGCAUCGCAGGUGUUCUUUCACAAUAGGGGGAGCGGUGCAGCUCAGGUCUUACCAAGUACGGUCAGUACAGGAACACCCCUUCGCAAACAUGGCCAGAAACCGUAACAGUCCCCCAUUGUUUCAUGCAUGGGUCCCUGAGGAGGGCGUCUUGGUCCAGUGACAGCAGGUGCAGGGAAAACUUGGCCUGUGCUGUGGCUCAGGGUCCAUGGAUUAGGGUCUCGGCCUCUGACAGUCGUGAGGCAGAAAUGAGGGAUUUUCGGACCGACUCUUACACCACCCCGUGACUCAUGACUGGUCGGCAGGAGAGCUUCAUCAGUCGAGUUCGUUGCGUUGUUCUGAAGUCUUCAGGACUCAUUGUCAGUGUCAGUGGUAUACCCCGGAAAAUAGAGACGAGAGAGAGAGAGAGGGGAAAAAGAAAUAGAGAAGGGAAAAAGAAAAACAAGAGAUAUCAUAAUGAUUAAUAUUGAUUGUUAAAAUCUCAAAAGAAAUCAUUAUGACAAAACAAAUCCAA